UUGUUGGUUAAUCUCAAUUCAUUCUUUCCAGACCAUAUAUACUGGCGUGGAUGUUCGUAUACGUUGUGAUCUAAUAUACAAUUUUAAGUAGAAUUGUUAUAUUGUUUUGUCAAACGUGACUUGAUUUGAUUUAUAUGUUUAUUUAGUUAAUAAAUAGUCGCGUAUAUCUACGAUUAUGUCUUUGAAAAAAACCUCGCAACGGGCUAGUGGCAGUAAAAAAAGAAAACUAAGUGACGGUUCCAUUGAUAUAGAAUUGCAUCAUAAUCUAGAUUUGUUUAGUGAUCCCGAUUAUCAAACGCCAACGGACGGUUACCGAGACCUGUUUGGUGAACUUAUACCGCCUAACGAGUGCGUCAAUAAUGCACAGGCUAAAGACAAAUCGACUAAGAAAAAAACACCUGUAUCAAAGAGAAAAAAACUGCCAUAUGAAGAUGUUUUUGUAGAUACUCCAGUAAUAAAACCUAAAAGAGUGUUUGUUGCUACUCCAAGAAUGAUUAAAAUUAUGAGGGAGGCACAAAAAGAAUUGUACUCUCUUAUGGGUGUCAACAAAAGUCCGAGUAAUGUUUCAAUUAAAUCAAACGACAGCCUUAAUGUCAGCGGAGUACAACAAUUACAAGACAGUCCUAUAACAAGUAUAAAAAAUGUGGCUAAAAUAAAUACAGAGAAUAACGAUAAGAAUCCUCAACAAGUUCUUAAAGGAGUUGUUGCAUUUGUUGAUUACAAAAUCGACAAUGAACGCAUUGAUUCAUGUAUCAGUUCUAGUCUCAUUAAAAUAGGUGCCAAAGUCGAAAAAACAUUUAAUCGAAAAGUUACGCAUGUGAUGUUUUGUGAUGGCUACCGCAGUACAUAUAAUAAAGCAGUUGAACGUAAUAUCCCACUGGUAUCAGCAAGGUGGAUGGAAUAUAGCAGAAGAGCUAAUAAGAUACAGGAUCCAGCUGACUAUCCGCCUGUAGGUUUGGAAAAAUACACCAAAACACCAUCAAAAGUUAUUAAAAUUCCAAAAUCCAUGUCAUAUCAAAAGUUUCUAGAUCCAAGUUAUAUUGAACGUGACCAGCUAUUUAAGUCAAAAUGUGAUAGCAUUAUGAAACAAUUUAAUCUCAGUAUAAACCAUAAUGAUAAAAAUGGAGAAAAUCAUUCUAGCAUUGAGACUCCUCAAAAAAUGAUUGCGGAUGAUCUAGACGAUCUCCACAAACCAGAUCAUAUUGUUAAUAUAGUAUCAGAUGAUGUACAUAAAGUAUUAAAUAUGACUGAUAAUCCUGUAUCAGAUGAAAAACUAGAAGAAUUAAUUGUACCAAUUAGAAUAAUAAGAAAAUAUCUCACGCCUGCUGGAAAGGAGAAUACAACAUCUAAAAUACUUGAUAGUCAAAUAGCUAAAAUUGAAGAUCAACUAAAUUUAAAUUUUCAAGCUAGAAAACGAUUUCGUAAACUAUUAUUUCCUUCUGAUGAGGAUAUAAAUAACAUUCAAGAAGUUAUGAACUCUCCAACUCAAACCAAAGACAGUAAUUCCAAAAAUAUGUCUGUAAAUUCUACGAUUAUCCAGACACCAAAAGACUCUUUAGCAGAUAAUAGCGUGGUAUUACAGUCAAUUGCCUGUACUGGGAUGAUGAAAAGUGAAAUGAAAAUUUUAAAAUCAUCUAUAAAAACCUUAGGAAAAUUUGUUUUCCAUGCUACGGUGAAACCUCAAACUACCUAUUUAAUUACUAAAUCACAUUCUAAUCAAUCAUUGGAUAUUGUAUUUGCAAUGGCUUAUGGCUGUUUCAUUGUUUCGGAAGAUUGGGUACAUGAAUCGUACAGAAUUGGAAAAUGGUUAUCCCAUCAACAUUACUUGAUCUCAGAUUUGUCUGAACCUGUAAAGGAAUUUCAAUUACAACGUCACACAAAAUUUGGAUCAAUGUUGAAAUUUCAUAUAUUUGACAAUGCUGGCAAAAUAUAUAUAUCAGAUACCUGUAAAUCGCCUGCUAAACUCUUAAAACGAUUGGUGCAUGCUUGUGGUGGUCAUUGUACAAAUACCAAAUCUAUCGCAAACAUUGUAGUAGGUGAUACACCAAAAAUGGAUAAUAAUGUUGACGAAAAAUGGAUUUUAGACUGUAUAACCAAAGGGAUAUUGUUAAAUAAAAAAAAAACAAAGGGUCAAUGUCGGAUAACUGCAUUCAUAAUAUCAAAUAGAGAAAACAAAAGUUUUGUGUUGUCAAAGCAAACAAGAUAUGUUCCAUUUCUUCAACAACAUAUAACAGAAAAGGCUUUAAAACAACUGUGAAUUCAUGUGUGCCUCAUGGUAUCUAAAUGGAAUAGAUUGUUAAAAGCUGCAAAUAACUAAACAUUUAUUCAGUGUGCAUAAAGAAUUAGGCGAUUACGACAAGGAUUGUUCCCAGCAACACCUCAAAAUACUGAACAGUUCCAUAAAUUAUUAAUGAAUGAUGAAAAUCAAAGUUUUAGAUUAUCACUACAACAAUCACAAUUUUAUCAAGGACCAUUGGUUGUGAAUGGAAUUAUUAAAGGUGUCCUAUUUUGCAAUAUAGCUCAUUUACAGAAAAAAGAGUAAAAUUUAAGAAAUCUAUGGAAAUCUAAUGGAAAUUUCUUUUUCCCAAUAGUUUAUGCUAUCUUCACAGCCAAAAAACAGGAUAUAAUAUAUGUACAACCUCUGAGUUAUGUCAGAAGUGUUACCCUUAAAUUAUGCAGACUUAAUUAUAAUAACUUAUUAUGAGUAUGGUCUAAUUAAUGCCACAAAAAUAAUGUUUCCGGAGAGUAAAACGCAAGGGUUUGUCUUCAUUUUUUCCAGGUAAAUAGUAGCUUCCUUUUUGUUGAAUCUGAAAAAAUGAGUUAUUAAUAAUAAAUAAUAUUUUUUGGCAGUCAUACAGUUAAAAAAUCUCAAAUUUUUCAUUUUAUAUAAACAAAUUUUAAUGCAACAUGUAUAUUAAAAAUGGUAAAUAAUAGUAAAUAUAAAUGAAACAAUUAAAUAAUUAAUUUUUUUCCAUAGAUUUUAGGUUUGCCAUACUUGCCGACAACACAAAUUUAUGCUUUACCGUCAAUGGAAGAUAGUUUCAAUAAAGUUGUACAAUAUGUUAAUCAAUUCCCUGAUUUAGCUGUACAACAAAAUGAAUUCCUAAUUGAUUUUGUUUUUUAACGAUGAGCCCUGAAAAUGUCUAAGAAUAUAAUCAAGAAAUAAGGACAAAUUACUAUAUUGAGAAUUAUCAUGCUUCAUUGUUGAGGCUAUAAUUAAGCCUCAUCCUAAAGUUUGGGAAUUCCUUAAUAUGAUUUAAAAUUCAAUUUUUCUGAAAAGAGAAAAUAUAUUAGUGUUUUAACAGUUUAAAAAUGAUGAUAACCUAUUUUAAAUAUUAAUUUAUGUUUAUGACCAUGAUUUUAUGGGCUAUUUAUUUUUAAAUUGCGUUAUUUUUGCGUAUUCAAUUUCGUUAGGAAUUAAUAAAUAUCUAAAUAAUACAAUAUUUACAUUUUGAUCAUUAUUAUUAUUAAGUAAAAACGGCGCGUAGUUAAACAGUCAUGGGAGAAACGACUUUAAUAUCGGCCGCCUGCCUUUGCAGCCUGUGUUAAAUAGCCCCGGACACAGUGUGACCAGUGAUCUAUGACCCUGUGCCCACAGCCCAACACGGAUUAAGAAUUAACUCAUGUUGCUAAAAUUCGGUCUUUCCUGCCCUGACUGAUCGUCCUCGAUCAGCGACAAUCGCAUUGGAUCUAUUGGGUGACUUAGCGACAUUGAUAAUUUAAUAAUAAUAGUAUAUAAUAUAUGUAUAAAAAAAAUUACAUCUGGGGGAAAAAAGGGUUGCCCUAAAUAAGACAAAAACAUUAACUAAAAUAACAUUACGAAAAUUUCAGUCUAACUGGUAAUAUGUGAGAAGUGCUGGUGGUCGUCUGGUCCAGGGCCAAUUGUUUGUGGGCGUGUGUUCAAAUCCCACUUCUGAAAUGUUAUAAAAUGUUUACAAAUAUACAUUAUAAAUAGAAAGUAAUUAACAAACUAUUAGGAAUUGUAGUUUACACUUACCCAAUAUAUUUAGGAAUAAUUAAACAAUAGAUACAUAUGAAAGGGGGACGCGUAAAAACCUGGAAUGUUAAACUCUGGAAUUUAAUACCUGGACUGUAAAAAUUUGGAUCUCACACACACAGAUAUAUAAUGUAUCAGUUUUAAGGGGGUAUGAAUAGGCCAUAAAUAUUAAUCAUUAAUGUUUUUCGGGAUAGGUACAUGCCUAAAGACUGUAGCCCAUUGGCGCAAAAUAUAACCCAAACACAACCAAAAAGCGCAAAAACAAUACCUUUUUUUUAACUAACCAUAAUCGCAAAUACAUUUUACAAAAGUAAAGUGUGUUUUAUCAACCUUUUACAGUAGUUAUAUUAAAAUGAGUUGAAAAAAAGUUUUAAAUUAAAAUUACAUAUUAGUAGUUAUUACUUAUUAGUAUAAGUUUGAACUUUGAAGCCCAAAGUUCUUAAAUAAUCUAACCGGAAAAUUGUUAUUCUAUUUACAAGUUCCAUGCUUUUAUAUUAGGGUUGACUUUAGAACUGUGAUUUAUAGUUGUUCGUCCAUUUAAUUGAUUUUUUUAAUAAACUUCUGCCUGGUGUUCUUUAAACAUUUCGAUAAAAUUAUAAAAUGAUGGAUGUGAAACUUAUAGUGUAACGAGUAUAAUAUCGUAUCAAGUAAUACAAUUUAUUUUUGCGCUUUUAUCCCACUACUAAGAUACAAAAGCGCAAAACAAAUUUGCGAUUUUGUUUGAUCGAAAAAAAUAGACUAUUUGGACUUUUGGGUUUCGCCGAUUCAAAAACCAACAAUUGUUAAUCUUAUACCGAAAAAUUAUAUCGAUAAA